rnacentral:tRNA from 1 species
UCCGGUGUGGUCUAGUGGUUAGGAUUGGACGCUCUCACCGUCUAGGCCCGGGUUCGAUCCCCGGCACCGGAA